UACGUAGGGUCCGAGCGUUGUCCGGAAUUAUUGGGCGUAAAGGGCUCGUAGGCGGUUUGUCGCGUCGGGAGUGAAAACUCAGGGCUCAACCCUGAGCGUGCUUCCGAUACGGGCAGACUAGAGGUAUGCAGGGGAGAACGGAAUUCCUGGUGUAGCGGUGGAAUGCGCAGAUAUCAGGAGGAACACCGGUGGCGAAGGCGGUUGCCUGGGGCUUUGCUGACGCUGAUGCGCGAAAGCGUGGGGAGCGAACAGG
rnacentral:rRNA from 1 species